CAUGCUAACCUGCUCUGCUAACAUGCUAACCUGCUCUGCUAACAUGCUAACCUGCUCUGCUAACAUGCUAAAUACAGACACAAAAACAGCAGCGUUCUGGUUCAUAAUAUUUCACAUCACUGCUGGUCAGUCGGUACUUUACAUCCCAUUGUUUUGAGCUUUAUGAUGACCAGCUGCUCUGUUUUCAUGCAUUCUGACCUUCAUGCUGGUGAUUUUGUCCUGUCUGCGUAUUGAUGGUAGAUCGACUUGUUUUUAAAAACUCUUGUUGCUCCUUUUUAACAGCUCAAAACUAAAUAUAUAAUAAUACUCAUUAAAACUCACAUUAAAACUUUAGGACUGCUCCACUAUGUCUUUGGGUUUGCAGCCAAUCAGGUUCAGGGAAAAUGAGUGGCGCUUUCUGAUUGGCUGCUGUCACUUUGCUCCCAAACUGAAUUUUCUUUUGAUUAAUUUAUGUCUUCUGAAAAAAUCCUUAAAGAGACAAAUUUUCUGAGAAUAGUUUUAAUUUAUGUUCCACAGAAAAAUCCACAAACCGUUGCUACCAGAUCCUGAAACACAUAAAGCUUUAGAAGAAAAUAUUUAUUAUCCUGUAAAUAUUUGACAGAAAUAUUUGAUAUUUCUGCUUCUCGCUGCAGCAGAAACAAAUCUCCAGCCUGUGAGACGGAAACCUGGGGACAAAAUCACUCUGGACUUUGGAGACCAAAGGCUGAGAGAGGCGGAUUGGGUCGUUUGGUCUCGUGGUUCGGACAGCGCCGUCCUGGCUCAGUCGAAAAAGACUUAUUUAUGUUAUCCAAGAGGUUCCGGCUGGAUACAGAAACCGGGUCACUCACCAUCCUCAACCUCUGUGUGAACGACACCGGGACCUAUCAGGGCCAGAACCUGAACGGAAACGCGGAGACGUUUUCACCGGACUGUUGACGAACCGGUCCACAGUCCAGUAACCUCUGAACCUUCACCAGGCAGGUCACACCGGUCCGGUGCCGCUGCUCCGUCUCUGCUGGUUCUGCUCGGCGCUGCUAACAUGCUAACCGGUUUCUGACUGAGAACCAACGAGCUGAAGGGAAAAGAUACAAUCAGGCCAGUAACAGUCUGAUCUGGAUCUUCUUGGACAGAAACAUCUGCAGCCUCCAGCUGUGACUCUGGAGCUCAUCGUCCAAAACAUGAGACGGAUUUAAGGAGCCAUGAUUCAGUGAUUUGGUCGUAAACGUUUGAACCUGAACAGAAACAUUCACACUAAUGAACAAAACUCAUUUUCAGUUAGUUGAUUCCUGCAGGAAUCGAACGUUGAGCUGCUGCUGGGGAAACCGUGACGUUCCUGCUCUCUUCUCUGGGUCAGAACCGAAUACAGUAAUUAUGGCUGGUUGUCAUAACGGCUCCAUCUGGAGAAAUGGACUUUACUGUUACACUUAUGUUUGUUUGAUCCUUUAAAGGCGACAUAUCAAACUUUAAAUCUUUUGUUUUCAUAUUUAAAUCAUUGAGUUGAAAUGAUUUAACUGAAGUGAUGAUCCUCCUGAGGAUUUUAACAUGUUACUUUUAAACACGUUACAUCGUUAUGAAAGCGAUGAAUUAUCCACUCAACUCCUCCUGUGCAGAAACUGAAGCAGAUUUCUUUGUUUCUGCUGAUUCAGGAAAUCUGAUCAAUUAUCUGAACGCUUCAACUGUUAGAGAUUUAAUUUUUUCUCUGUUGUUUAAAUAUUUAAAGAUAAGUUAUGACUUUAUUUUAAAAAAAGACUCCACAAAGCGAACGAGUUGUUCUGGGAGAUUAAACUGAUGAAGCUCAGCUCCUCCUCUUCCUCCUAAACGUUCAAACCUCCAUGAUUUAUUGCCAGAAUUUAACCAGCAGAAACUUUGAAUCUUCAUCUCAUUUUGUUUUUUGUUCUCUUGAAUUAAUGUGGUUAUCAUAAAGUUCAAACCCUCUGCAGUCCAUCAGGUUUCCACCUUCAGUGUGGAAGUCAGAGCUGAACCAACCAGAUGUUUUCCUUGCUGUAAACAUUCAGCUGCUCUGUGUUUUCACUAUUUGUCCUGUUUUGCAUUAUAACAAUAAAACGAGGUUGAUUUUCA